AUGUUUUGCCCAAACUCGGGGCUCUCGAGGCUGAUGAGCUCACCUCGGAGCCCCAUCCACGCCCGGCAGCCUUCGCACGAAGCGGCUGCACCGGGCUCUGAGCAAGAGAAGGGCGAAAACGGAGCGGCCGGCGGAGCAGAAGGAAGUGCCGCCGGGGCCACUCCUCCGCGCCAUUUCCUCCCUGCGCCUGGGUUUUUAUACAGAUGCGAGGGGCAGCACGGCGGCCGGCCCGUCCGAGGCCUCAGCCUGGGCUGGGGCGACCGAAGGGGAGCGCCGGCGGCCGGCCCCGAGGAGAGGCUGCGGGUCCCUGCGCUCCGUCCGGCCCCGUCCCCUGCAUGCCCUGCGGCCUCGCACGCACCGAGCUCUGAAAAAAAUAUGAUGUGAAUG
rnacentral:lncRNA from 1 species